UCCAGACUCCUACGGGAGGCAGCAGUGGGGAAUAUUGCACAAUGGGGGGAACCCUGAUGCAGCGACGCCGCGUGGGCGAGGAAGUAUUUCGGUAUGUAAAGCCCUAUCGGCAGGGAAGAAGAAAUGACGGUACCUGAAUAAGAAGCACCGGCUAAAUACGUGCCAGCAGCCGCGGUAAUACGUAUGGUGCAAGCGUUAUCCGGAUUUACUGGGUGUAAAGGGAGCGUAGACGGCUGCGCAAGUCAGAAGUGAAAGCCCGGGGCUCAACCGCGGGACUGCUCUUGGAACUGCGUGGCUGGAGUGCAGGAGGGGCAGGCGGAAUUCCUGGUGUAGCGGUGAAAUGCGUAGAUAUCAGGAGGAACACCGGUGGCGAAGGCGGCCUGCUGGACUGCAACUGACGUUGAGGCCCGAAAGCGUGGGGAGCAAACAGGAUUAGAUACCCCGGUAC
rnacentral:rRNA from 1 species